rnacentral:rRNA from 1 species
UAACAGGCUGAUCCUGCCCAAGAGCUCAUAUCGACGGCAGGGUUUGGCACCUCGAUGUCGGCUCAUCACAUCCUGGGGCUGGAGAAGGUCCCAAGGGUCCGGCUGUUCGCCGGUUAAAGUGGUACGCGAGCUGGGUUCAGAACGUCGCGAGACAGUUCGGUCCUUAUCCACUGUGGGCGGAGGAGAUUUGAGGGGUUCAGACCUUAGUACGAGAGGACCGGGUCUGACGAACCGCUGGUGUUCCAGUUGUUCUGUCAAGAGCAGUGCUGGGUAGCUAUGUUCGGAAAGGAUAAGCGCUGAAAGCAUCUAAGCGCCAAGCCUAUCCCAAGAUGAGAUCUCCCUGAAGGGUCGUGGUAGACCACCACGUUGAUAGGUCUCCGGUGCAAGUGCAGUAAUGUAUUCAGCUGAGAGAUACUAAUAACCCGUUCGGCUUGAUCAUUUA